UUUUUUCACAAGUAGCUUUAACUGUUUUGGUGACAUUCUUCAAAGAUUGUACUUCCAAGAACAUGAAGUCAAUAGACUUCUUCAUAGCCUCGAUGUUAACAGUAUUCUUGCUGAUCAUAGCCUCCAGAUUAUCUGAGCGCUCAUUAAUGAAAGUAGCAAUGUUGUUUUGCACAUCAGCAAGAGUUAUAUCACUGUCUUUGUGUUUUUUACCAUCGGAUCUGGCUGGUGUAUCGGGGUCCGAAUCCGGCAGUGGCAUCAGUUCAGCACUUUUGCUGCGGUUGUAGUCAUGUUCGGCAGCCACGGCAUUCUUGGGGGUGGUUUUUGAGCCAGCUACACCUGUAUUUCUCUCCAUUUCCUUAGUUGCUCCUUUCGAUAGACUUUUAAAUUUCAUGGGUGUUUCUUUUCCCUUCCUUUUACUACCCUGAGUUGUUGGAAACAUCGCGGAGGUGGCGGAGCUUUCCUACUGUUAGCUGAGCUAUCGCUUUGCAAGGAAGCUAGGGUCACGAAAAAGUUCUUUUAAGUAUGGUUCAGGAAGCCGUUACUUAGAAGUACAGCAUAAGUGUACUGAAGAAACAGUCAGUAGGAUAACUCACUUGUAAUUCAGAGAAAAACGACGGCUGGAAGUUGUCACCCUCCACGGCUAAAUAAAGCACUCUAAAUCGGUUUCAGUAAUGUACUGAUUUACACAACAAUGGACAUAAGGGGCUUCUUUCAAAGAAAAAACUCAGCACAAAGAGGGAGCGAGAGGAACAGAGAGGGAGAUAGAGAGGAUAAUAAGGACAGAAGAGAAAUGGAACAAGAGCCAGGUGAGACAGACAUGUUAAUCAAAUGGUUGUUUGCCAAAACUCAUUAGAACAUGUAUCUAGUACCUAGUGUAUCUUUUUGGAAUACUUGAAUAAUAUUGACCCUGGAAAUGUCAUUGAUAGGUUCGCAAAACUCAAGUCUCGAAGAUACAGUCUCAUGUUACCACAAUAAAGAGGUGUUGUCAGUGUAGUGCAGGUCUAUGAUGAUUUUCAGUGCUACUAUCAUCUAGUUUUGAUUCUGGUUCUAUCUUGGUUAAGUCCUAAAGUAGUCCUGAUUUUGAACUGUUGUAGUCCUGUUUUAAUUCCGGGUCAGUUGUGGGUCUGGUUGAUUUGGGGUUUAGCAAAUCCACAGCAACUCCACCCCCCACCCCCCCUCCAAUCCGACAUGCAUACUACCCUUUAGGGCUAAGCCCUGGGUGUAUAAAAUGUCUGGCUCCGCCUCUGGUUUGACUAUGCUCAGGGUCAGCGUUGCUUCUUUCCGGUCCCUCCCUCACUCUUUGAAAUGCCCAUGGUCAAAUAUCGAUGAUUGACCCGCAGCUGGAAGACUGAAUAUCGUCUCACUGUCAUGACGAC
ensembl:lncRNA